GACGAACGCUGGCGGCGUGCUUAACACAUGCAAGUCGAACGGUGAAGCGCCUUCCUUUUUGGUGGGUGUGGAUGAGUGGCGAACGGGUGAGUAACACGUGAGUAACCUUCCCCCUUCUUCUGGAUAACCGCAUGAAAGUGUGGCUAAUACGGGGUAUUCUGGGUCUGUCGCAUGAUGGGUCUGGGGAAGAUAUUGUUUCGGGGGGGGGUGGGCUCGCGGCCUAUCAGCUUGUUGGUGGGGUGAUGGCCUACCAAGGCGGUGACGGGUAGCCGGCCUGAGAGGGUGGACGGUCACACUGGGACUGAGACACGGCCCAGACUCCUACGGGAGGCAGCAGUGGGGAAUAGUGCACAAUGGGCGCAAGCCUGAUGCAGCGACGCCGCGUGAGGGAUGGAGGCCUGCGGGUUGUGAACCUCUUUCGCCAGUGAAGCAGGCCUGCCUCGUUUGUGGGUGGGUUGACGGUAGCUGGAUAAGAAGCGCCGGCUAACUACGUG
rnacentral:rRNA from 1 species